rnacentral:rRNA from 1 species
UUGUGGAGUGAUUUAUCUAGUUAAUUUCCGUGCACCAACAACAAGACCUUGACUUGCUGGUGCAGCGUCGGUUAUGUGGGUAGUUCUUAGAGGGGCGUUGCGUGUUUAACAUAUGGAAGUUCGAGUCAAUACCA